rnacentral:rRNA from 1 species
GACAUGGCUCAGGACGAACGCUGGCGGCGCGCCUAACACAUGCAAGUCGAACGGAGAUUACAGGCGGAAGUUUUCGGAUGGAAGCUUGUAAACUUAGUGGCGGACGGGUGAGUAACACGUGAGCAACCUGCCUAUCAGAGGGGGAUAACGAUUGGAAACGAUCGCUAAUACCGCAUGACAUAGCGGAACCGCAUGGUUUUGUUAUCAAAGAUUUUAUCGCUGAUAGAUGGGCUCGCGUCCG